CCUGCCAAGCCCUCUUGACUUCGUGUUCCUCCCCCAAAGGUCCCGUUACAAAACCUGGUCCAAGUUCUUGGUCGCUAGGCAGCUUCAGGCAGACUGAGUGGACAGUCGCAGAAGGCCUUUGGACAUCGUUUGUUGGGAGGAAAAGGAAGAAUUUGGAGACGAAGGACAAGGAAAUUCCACAAUAUUUCUCCAGCUGAUACCAAGAGAUGGACAGAGACGAGGAAUGAAGACUGGAAAUUAGAUCCAAGUAUUUGUGGAGACACAAGCUUUCUAAUCCUGAAAACCCUAAAGGACCUCGCUGGUAGCACAAAACUUUUCAGAGUAGAAGAGAACCCUUUGAUGACUCCCUGUAUAGACAUUCUGCAUUGGUCCAUUCACUUGUCUAAGGAUACUUUAGUCUUUCAAAGUUAUCAGCACAAUAUCAUGUAUGUUCCUUGUAAAACUUUAAACAAGCCAGAUAUUUACAAAAUUAAGUCAUUGCAGAUGUCUCUUAACCACUUCAAGUGUAUUCUUCCAGGAUUUCUUAAUGUGGGAUUCCCCUCUGUAUGCUGUGAAUACCAUUGGUUAAUAAAGAAACUGUCUUAGGUCUGCACAGGGAAAAAUAUAGGUAGGUAGGGAAAACU